CCCUUAGAUGUUCUGGGCCGCACGCGCGCUACACUGAUGCAUUCAACAAGCCUAGCCUUGACCGAGAGGUCCGGGUAAUCUUUUGAAUGCGUACCGUGCUAGGGAUAGAUUAUUGCAAUUAUUAAUCUUGAACGAGGAAUUCCUAGUAAACGCAAGUCAUCAGCUUGCAUUGAUUACGUCCCUGCCCUUUGUACACACCGCCCGUCGCUACUACCGAUUGAAUGGCUUAGUGAGCCUUUGGGAUUGGCAGCCAACACCGGCAACGGUAGCUGGCCGCCGAAAACUUAUGCAAACUUGGUCAUUUAGAGGAAGUAAAAGUCGUAACA
rnacentral:rRNA from 1 species